rnacentral:misc_RNA from 1 species
AAGUCGUAACAAGGUAUCCGUAGGUGAACCUGCGGAUGGAUCAUUAUAGGGUGUUGGGUAAUUGUGAGUGGUUUUAUUAUUAGUAGUUUGAGCGGUGUUGGUUGGGAUGCGAAGCAGGAUUGCCAAGCAAGACAGCCAACAUUGCCUCACGUUAAACUCUAUAAAUCUAACAAUUACAUACAAAAAAAAACAACUUUUAGCAACGGAUCUCUUGGCUCUC